GAUCUGUCAGCACAGAGCCCAACGCGGGGCUCGAACUCACAGAUCAUGAGAUCAUGACCUGAGCCAAAGUCAGAUGCUUAACCAAGUGAGCCACCCAGGCGCCCCUCUUUUGUCUUUAGAGUUAAAAUACGUAUAUUAAAAAUGUUGUUAUCCACAAUGACUUGGAUUAGUUCUUUUUUUUCUUUGUCUCCUUAAAUAGGGUUAUGUUAUUCAUUUCUAAUAGAAUUAGGCUCAUUUGUUGCUGUUUAUAUUUCCAUUAUGACUUUCUCCAAGUCUUGCUUAAUUUUUAACAUUUAUUUGUAUUUUGUGUAUGUGAAACAAUGUCAUUGUUCUAAAAAUCAGAACUGUGUGUGAAGAUAAACUUAGAGAUAAUCCCACUCAUCCAUUUUACCUGUUCCUUUUCCUCCAUUCCUUCCAUUCUGUUCCUACCCCUGUAGUUUCCCAAUUUCAUUUGCUUCUAGUUUAUCCUUUCUAUGUAACUUUUUGCUAAAGCUGGCAGAUAUAUGUAUAUUUCCUUAUAUUUCCCUUUACUUUUUCUUACACGCAUGGCAAAAUACUAUAGCUACUCUUUUGCAUUUUGCUGUUUUCUCUUAACCAUGUAUUAUGGAUGUCACUCUAUAUCAGUUCAUAAAGAUUUUUCUUAUUCUUUUUUUAAUAGCUGCAUAAUUCUCUGUGGAUGUAGCAUGAUUUAUUCAUCACCAUUCUAUUUAUGGGCAUUUUAGUUGUUUCUAAUAUUUCACAAUUAUAAACAGUGCUGCAAUGAAUAACCCUGUACAUGUAUUUUUCUAUUGUUGUAAGUGUAUCUUCAGGGUAAAUUCCUAGAAGUGGAAUAAUUAGGUCAAAAGGUAAAUGUAUAUAUAGUUUUGUUAGACAUUGUCAAAUUCCUCUCCAAAAGGGUGUAUCAGUAAUGUAUGAAAGUGCAUGCCUUUCCACAGUCUCACAACAGAAUGCAUUCUCAUGCUUUUAAAUUUUUAUUAAUCUGGCUUGUGCAAUACACUUUAUAUUUCUUGAUUUUUAAACCAUUAACUAACUGCAUUACCUAUUAAAAUUAAAAAGAAAUUAAAACCAAAAAAAAUCUUGUUUGUGCAAACCUUCUUUUUAAUUCUCUUAAAAUUUACUGUUGAUUUGGAACUAACACUGUAAGAAUUCCUCAAGGCACCUGAGUGGCUCAGUCAUUUUAGGGACUAACUUCGGCUCAGGUCAUGAUCUCACAGUUUGUGAAUUCAAGCCCCGUUUUGGGUUCUGUGCUGACAGUGUGGAUCCUGCUUGGGAUUUACUCUCUCUGCCUCUCUCUCUGCCCCUCCCUUGCUCACACACUCUCUCUCUUUCAAAAAAAAAUAAACAUUAAAAAAUAAUAAAAUUAUACAAAAGAAUUCCUCUUCAUUGUUUAGGGUCUAUCAGAUGAUUUUUUGAAAUCUUGUCAUUUUAUGAAUUUUUUUUGGUCAGAAUCAUAAAAUUUGCUCUAUCCAUUCACUGACUACCUAUUGAAAAAAUAUCUUGAGUGGCCUCUAUUUCCCAGACUAUAUGGUAAGACAUAGUACUUGCCCUCAAGUUGCUUACUGACAGAGAGGAACAUGUUAGCAAAUAAAUGGACAAUUAUGAGAUAGACACAGCUCUACAUGGAGAAGCCCUUCCAGUGAGGGAAGACAGCCAGGUAUAUUCUGAAAUUGCAAGUAGUUUAAUGCAAUUGGCAUAUAGAAUUCAAGUAUGUGCUCAUAGAUGUGGUGCGAUGAGACAGGAGCAGAGAGAAAUAUGGUUCGAGAGGCAUGUUGAGAAGCUUAGAUAUCAUCUAGAGGACAAAGACUUACUAAAAAGUUUUAAACAGAAUAGAGGUAUGAUCAGGAUUUUUAUUACAGCAAGCACAAUGAGGGGUUGCCAAAGAACUUCUGGUUUAUCCUCAAAGUGUUAAACUAUAUCGUAUACACAGAGUUCUACUAGGUCAUACAAAAGAAAGGAAUAAUCCCUAAAACCAGAAUUGACUGUGAUCUUCUAGAAGGAAGUAACCUCUUUAAGAAAAAAUGGUUCCAUCAGAAUGUCAUCGGCAAUGAAACAAGGUGAAGGAAGAUGGCAUCUGAGAGGAAGCCUUUGCCUGCUUUGGUGGUUUAAAGUGCGUCCUUUAUUCAGAAAAGGAGCUGCUCUUGGUGUCUGGGCUUUUCCAGUAGAAUUUCAACAACACUAGUGAUUAAGGUGUUGAAAACCAAGACCAUCUAUACCUGUAACAGCUUAUGGUUUACAUUACCAUGACUUUAAAAUUCAGAUGCUUCAUAAAUGGGUAAGGGGCAUUAGGGACUCUACUCCUGAAAUCAUUAUUGCACCGUAUGCUAAUUUGGAUGUAAAUUAACUAAUAAAUAAAUGAAAAAAAUAAAAAAAAUUCAGAUGCUUCAUUAAUGUGACUUUAUUAUUCCACUCUCUUCAUCAAACUGAUUUUACUGUUUCAGAAAUUUGCCUGGGAAGAUCAAGUUGCUAAUAACUUUAGUGUUCAUUUCAGAAAGUUCCUGAAAAUCCUUUUAAACUGAUAUUAGGCUACUCAAAUAAAGCAACAUUAAAGGACUGUUUACUCCUCAAAACUGCUUUGAAGCCCUUUCUUUUUAAACCUCCCCCAUUUUGUGUCUACCAAUCUUAAACUAUUAGAUCGUAGAUUUGCCCAAUCAUAAUGAAACCCCUCUUCUCACACCAAAAGAUCCAUCUUAAACCAAACUUCCCAUAUCUUAUACAUAUCUGAUCUUUAUUUUACCUCUUCUGAAACUCCACCAAGAUUCUUGUCAAAGUAGUGGUCUCACUUACUGUGGCAAGCAAUAAACUCAAGUUUGCUUUAUGAAAAGGUUAUUUUGGUGAUGUUUUCAGGAAAUAAAGUACCUAUGAGAGUCAUUUCCUAUUCUAUCUACAAAUGAUGCUUUUUGCAAUAAAUGGUGACCAGUAGUUUGGAACCAUAAGCCUAAAUUGACAAUCCAAGAAUAUCUCAGUUAACUUACUAAUUUUUUGUCUUUCUUUCAACCUGGCACGUGACAUUUAUAGCCAGAGACCUCAAGGAAUGUCAUUGUGCCCCCUCAUAAUUAUUGUUUUUCAAAUUAGUGAAUUUGGAAAUGUAUAAUCAUUUCAGAAAGAAAUAAGUGACCUAUGUAUCCUAGCCAAUCAUCCUACACCAACCAAGAAAGAUUUUUGAAAAAAAAAAAAAAGCUGUAUAGAUUUUAUGUAAAUUUGGUAUUUAUGAACACCAAAGUUUUAGCACUGACAUCUGCCUGAGAAGAAACUUCAUUUACAGCAGUGGCAGAAAUGAAGUUCACUGUGAACUAGUUUUGGAUACCAUAUGCUUUAACAUGCAGAAGAGGAGGGGAAAAGAGGCAUCCUACAAACAGAUUUUUCUUGCUCUCACUGUGUAUGAUGUUGCAUGACAACAUUGUGACAUCAUAACUUAGGCUAUUUUAUUUGCUGUUGCACCAAUAUAGCGCCAAGGCGUGGAGUAGCACCUUUGGAUGUAUACGGUGCUUUCCUUUCAUGAAACUUAAGGCACUUCGCAGGCAUUUUCUUUCUAAACCUCACAACAUCUCUCAAAGCUUAAAAAAAAGAAGGAAAUCCUGUAUAUGUGACACCAUGGACGAAAUUGGAGGACAUUAUGCUAACUGAAAAAGGCCAGUCACAGAAAGACAACUACUGUAUGCUUCUGCUUAUAUGAGGUAAAGUGAGGAGUUGGGAAAGAAAGGAAAACAUAAGAUGAGAUCUCUCUAUGAACAAGUGACGGUUUGAAGUGGGUCACCUCAUUGCCAUCGCAUAAGCACCUUAUUGCACCAACCCAAGGAAUCACCUGCAAGUGAACAGUGAAGGUUCAAUAAGGAUGGAAAAGAGUACUGAUAGCAAUUUGGAAGCAAAUCUAAGGAGUGCAUACUUUUCAUUAAAAGGUUAUUUCGUGCUUCCUCUCUUCCACACGAUCAAGAUCUUCAAAGUAAGCAUCUUUCAAAGGAACGACAAGCAAAAUACAGCUGCAGGAUCAGUAACUCCCUGUUAAGCAGCUUUGCCUGCUGUCACUAUUGACUGCUGGAGGUGGUGAUCCGUGUCAGUCACUAAAACGACACCUUGGCAAGACUGCAAUCUGCUCCCAGGGUUUUUGUGUAUGGGAACACUUAGAUAAUGAGAUUUUCAUAUAUUCCCAGCAGCUCACACGGUGCCUGGAAAAGAGUCCCCCAGAGCCUCAGAAAACUGAGGGCAGCCCGUGUCAAGGGAACUCAGUGAUGGUGAUUCAUGGUUCCUGACUCCUUCCUAAACUGCUUUCUGGAUUCUCUUUGUCCACAGUCUUUCCUAGGCAUGGGCAUGUGCAUUGACAAGUAACAUGCAGAAGCAGGACACUGUCCUUACCUCAUAAGAGUCAACUUCUACACUAGCCUUAGAGCCAUCAGAAAAUAGAGAGGAAAAGCAUGGGAGGCUAGAGGACCUGCGAAGUUGUUUCUAAAGGUGAGAAUUUACAAACUUUUUCUUGUUUCAUAUGCAAAAAGGAACCCAAAUUGAAGACUUUUCACCACAAGUUCGCACAAUAGUAGGUAGCUUGGGUUUUGAAGUGAAAAUGACCUGUGUCUCUGAAACAUAGUUCUACCAUGUAAUGGCUAUACAAUCUUGAAUAAAUGGUGAAAUCUUCCCCAGACUUCCUUUUCUCAUCUGUAAAAUGAGGAUUUUGACAGUAUCUACCUCAUAGGUGUGAAAAUUAAUGAGAUAAGGUCUGAAAAUUGCUUAGCAUAGUGUGGAGCACAUAAAAAACAUUCGAUAAACCUCUUUCCAAAAAAGUGUUUUGGAAAUUUAACCUGGCACUGACAUAGAAGUUUAAUUUGCAGUUGAGAUUGUGGAAGUUUAGGAAAUUGCUUCAUUGUAAAAAAAAAUUGGGAAUUUUAUAAAAUGCUAAUGCAUUUUACAUGUAAGUCUUAUAUGUAAGUCUUAACCUACAUAGGCCUUCCAGAUCAGUUGUGCCAAAAAGGAGAGAAAGCAUUUUCAUACUAUUCUUGGACAUAAUUAUCCAUAGAUUUGUCAAAAGAGAGCUGCUCAAUAUGAUCUGGUAGCUCCUGCUUCCAUUGGGGUGCUUUCACAUGUCUUCAUUGAGGUAAAAUAUGUUUUAAAAGAAAAAGAUGUAGCUUUGUUCUUUGCAAAGUUUUGUAAACAUUUUAAAGCUUUUGUAAAUGUUUGAUUAUUAUUUAUUAUGUAUUGAUUAUUGUAAGCAUUCAACUGAGAGUGAGAUUGGAACUGAAUUUUUUUUUGAAUGGGGUAAAAAGAUUAGAGAAUGAGGACCUGUUUAUUAUUAUUACCUCGUUUAAAAAACUUAUUUAGGAAUCUGAAUUGUGAGAAAUUGAGACAGCGUGUUUGGAGAUAAAAUCUCUUCUUCAAGAAUCAGAAUUAAUUAAUUAAAAAUUUUUUAACAUUUAUUUAUUUUGAGAGAGAGAGAAUGCACAUGCACAUGCAAGCGCAUGUGGGGGUAGGGGAGGCAGAGAGACAGAGAGAGUGUCCCAAGCA